rnacentral:lncRNA from 13 species
UCUGGCCCCCGGGUAAAUUGCUCUGUGAUUCUUAACCUAAAUGGCAAUUAAACAAUCCUCUGGAUCCUGGAUCUUACUGAAUAUUCACUACUAAAGAGAUGACAAAAUUUCACUGAAGUGGGGAAUUAAAUGAAGACAAGGAUGCCAUGUUGAAUGAUUCUUUGCUUAAAUUGGAUUUGUGCCCAAAGCAGCAGGAGAUGCUGUCCCAAAAGCCGGAACAUUUUAUAAGUACUGGCAAUGAAGGUUUAUUACUUCAUUCCAAAAACAGCACAGAGAGCCCACUAAGGAGGUCCAGGGGAGAAGGGGAGCCACCGAACUGCACAUCGGGGAGAAGUGCUGACCUCCAGGCUGCGGAGUCAGGCAGGCUGCCUUACUUUUGUGGCUUCGUGCCUCGGGUGGUGAUGAGCAUAAAGGCCAGUGGGAAUUUGGAUGUUGCAACUGGUGAUAAAAAAGCAACUAGUUAG